AAUUGUCCAACCACUGUCGCCCCCUUCCACUCGCUUCUCGACUCAAUCGAUUCUUUCCUUUCCCCUCAAACAAACCCCCAAAUCCCAAAAAAUGUCUAAGCUUCCCAUGGAUGUAAUCGGCGAUAUCUUCAAUCGCCUCCCGGUGAAGUCACUGGUGCGUUUCAAGGCCUUGUCCAAGCCAUGCUGUUCUCUAAUCGACGACCCUGAUUUCAUCAAGGUCCAGCUGAGCCGUUCUGUCAACACCAGAUCGAACCUCAACAUCCUCCUCAAAGGUUUGCAUCUUUAUUCCGUGGAAUUCGACUCCCUGAAUAACUCCGUCCCUAUCGAUUAUCCUCUGAGUAGCGGAGCUGGGACUGAAGCCUUUGGUUCGUGUAACGGAAUCCUCGCAUUCCGUCUCACGGAUAAGAAUCUCGCCUUGUAUAAUCCGUCGACGAGGCAGUUCCGUCGACUGCCCGUCUCGGAAAUCGAUCCCCCGCCUGGUGAAUCUUGUAAAUCUGGGUAUAUCUUUUAUGGGUUCGGGCAGGAUGUUAAAACUAAUGACUAUAAGGUCGUGAGAAUGGCGAAGUUCAAUAAAACUGAUGAUGAAGAGGAUGAGAGCUUCUUUUUCGAUUACGAGGUUAAGGUUUAUAGUUUGAAGAAUGACGCUUGGAGGAAAAUCACUAAGCUUCCUUGUUAUCUUCGGUUUAUGUUUCAGUUCUUCUACCAUUUGCUGCAUCGACGAGGCUAUGGUGUGUUAGCUGGUGGGGUUUUGCAUUGGGUGAUGCCGCCUCGAAUCGAAUUUGGAAUGAGGAAUAAGAUUGUGGGUUUCGAUCUCGGAACCGAGGAGUUCAUUGAAGUGCCUCAACCAGAUUGUGCUGACAAGAGCUAUCUGUUGGAUGUGGGUGUCUUGGAAGGACGCCUAUGUGCUGUUUGUAAUUACGAUCAAGCGAAGAUUGAUGUUAGGGUUAUGAAGGAAUAUGGGGUAAAAGAAUCUUGGACUCCGUUGAUUUCGGUUCAAACGACUCGAGCCAUUAACACUUUAGCAUUUCUCAAACCAUUAGCUUAUUCCAAGGAACUUGAUAAGAUUCUACUAGAGAUCAAUAGCCAAAAGUUUGUCUGGUACGAUCUAGAAAAGAAGAAGAUGCGGAGUGUGAAAAUCGGUGGUAGUCCGGGUACAUUUGGUGCUGAGGUUUAUAUAGGAAGCCUCGUUCAAAUCGAUGACCCGAAAAGGAUUCAAAUUGAGAAACAAAAAGAACAAGAGAAACUGAAGAUCAAAAGUUGUAAGAAGAGGGAUGAUUUCCUUUCAAAAGGAUUCAAAUUGGUCUUAUAAUCAAAAUCAAGAAAAUACACAUAGUAUUAGCAAAGUACCAAGGAAGUUAAAGGACUUAUUGUUUAUACAGACAACCUUGAAGCUUUUGUUUGUCCUAUCCUUCACUCACUGCUGAUCUCCCGAAGGGUUGACUUGGGAAGUCUAACACAAUUGACAUAUGAACUGGACUUAUUACUUGGCAGAAAAGGCUUGGACAAUUCUCUAACUUUUAAAAUCAUACUAUGUCUUUGAAACAUUCCAUCAGCUUCUUUUGCAAUUUUAUAGAAAGGGUCAACUUGGGUCCAUGUAGUCCUCAUAUGAGAAUGUUGGUAGCUUUUAUUGUGUGAUACUUAUAGAAAUUUCAACAUCUUCUUGAUCUGUUGUUUU